rnacentral:misc_RNA from 1 species
AUGAAUAACUAUGGUGUUGGUUGUUGCUGGCUUCUAGGAGCAUGUGCACGCCCGCCAUUCUUAUCUCUCCACCUGUGCACUGUAUGUAGGUCUGGAUAACUCUCGCUCUCGAGCGGAUGCAGGGAUUGUCGCUUGCGACUCUCCUUGAAUUUCCAGAUCUAUGUAUUUUACAUACCCCAAUUGAAUGACGAAGAAUGUAGUCAAUGGGCUUUCAAGCCUAUAAAACAAUAUA